GGAAGGUUCUGACUGGAAACAGGAUUCGGCUCUGACUAGAAGAACAGAAUGUUGCCAGGAGGAUGCAGGACCAUCUGGCACAGAAAGAAUCCUGCAUUCCAUCACUUCAGUUGAGCCUUUAUCUUCUUCAAGCUCCUCCUACCACCACCCUC